GACGAACGCUGGCGGCGUGCCUAAUACAUGCAAGUCGAACGCAGUGGGGACGGGUGAGUAACACGUGGGUAACCUCCCAUCAGAGGGGAUAACACUUGGAUACAGGUGCUAAACCGAAAUUGAUGGAUGGACCCGCGGUGCAUUAGCUAGUUGGUGAGGUAACGGCUGACAAAGGCAACGAUGCAUAGCAGACCUGAGAGGGGUAUAGGCCACAUGGGGAAUGAGAGACGGCCCAGACUCCUACGGGAGGCAGCAGUAGGGAAUAUUCGGCAAUGGACGAAAUUCUGACCGAGCAACGCCGCGUGAGUGAAGAAGGUUUUCGGAUCGUAAAACUCUGUUGUUAGAGAAGCGGUAUCUAACCAGAAAGCCACGGCUAACUACGUGCCAGCAGCCGCGGUAAUUC
rnacentral:rRNA from 1 species